rnacentral:misc_RNA from 1 species
AACGCACAUUGCGCCCUUUGGUAUUCCGAGGGGCAUGCCUGUUCGAGCGUCAUUUCAACCCUCAAGCUCUGCUUGGUAUUGGGCCUCGCCGUCGCGGCGGGCCUUAAAAUCAGUGGCGGUGCCGUCGGGGCUCCAAGCGCAGUCGCAUCUCUCGCUUUGGAGGGCCCGGUGGUGUCCUGCCAGAUAACCUAAUUUUUACUGUGGUUGACCUCGGAUCAGGUAGGGAUACCCGCUGAACUUAA